rnacentral:rRNA from 1 species
CCUACGGGAGGCAGCAGUGGGGAAUAUUGCACAAUGGGGGGAACCCUGAUGCAGCGACGCCGCGUGAGUGAAGAAGUCUUUCUGUAUGUAAAGCUCUAUCAGCAGGGAAGAAAAUGACGGUACCUGACUAAGAAUCCCCGGCUAACUACGUGCCAGCAGCCGCGGUAAUACGGAGGGGGCAAGCGUUAUCCGGAUUUACUGGGUGUAAAGGGGGCGUAGACGGUUAUGCAAGUCUGAAGUGAAAGCCCAAGGCUCAACCAUGGGACUGCUUUGGAAACUGUAAAACUGGAGUGCAGGAGAGGUAAGCGGAAUUCCUAGUGUAGCGGUGAAAUGCGUAGAUAUUAGGAGGAACACCAGUGGCGAAGGCGGCUUACGGGACUGUAACUGACGUUGAGGCUCGAAGGCGUGGGGAGCAAACAGGAUUAGAUACCCGUGUAGUC